rnacentral:rRNA from 1 species
AUUGAACGCUGGCGGCAUGCUUUACACAUGCAAGUCGAACGGUAACAGGCCGCAAGGUGCUGACGAGUGGCGAACGGGUGAGUAAUGCAUCGGAACGUGCCCAGUCGUGGGGGAUAACUACCCGAAAGGAUAGCUAAUACCGCAUACGAUCUGCGGAUGAAAGCGGGGGACCUUCGGGCCUCGCGCGAUUGGAGCGGCCGAUGUCAGAUUAGGUAGUUGGUGGGGUAAAGGCUCACCAAGCCAACGAUCUGUAGCUGGUCUGAGAGGACGACCAGCCACCCUGGGACUGAGACACGGCCCCGACUCCUACGGGAGGCAGCAGUGGGGAAUUUUGGACAAUGGGCGCAAGCCUGAUCCAGCAAUGCCGCGUGCAGGAAGAAGGCCUUCGGGUUGUAAACUGCUUUUGUACGGAACGAAACGGCUCUGGUUAAUACCUGGGGCUAAUGACGGUACCGUAAGAAUAAGCACCGGCUAACUACGUGCCAGCAGCCGCCGCUGUAA